GAUGAACGCUGGCGGCGUGCCUAAUACAUGCAAGUCGAGCGAAUGGAUUAAGAGCUUGCUCUUAUGAAGUUAGCGGCGGACGGGUGAGUAACACGUGAGUAACCUGCCAAUAAGACUGGGAUAACUCCGGGAAACCGGGGCUAAUACCGGAUAACAUUUUGAACCGCAUGGUUCGAAAUUGAAAGGCGGCUUCGGCUGUCACUUAUGGAUGGACCAGCGUCGCAUUAGCUAGUUGGUGAGGUAACGGCUCACCAAGGCAACGAUGCGUAGCCGACCUGAGAGGGUGAUCGGCCACACUGGGACUGAGACACGGCCCAGACUCCUACGGGAGGCAGCAGUAGGGAAUCUUCCGCAAUGGACGAAAGUCUGACGGAGCAACGCCGCGUGAGUGAUGAAGGCUUUCGGGUCGUAAAACUCUGUUGUUAGGGAAGAACAAGUGCUAGUUGAAUAAGCUGGCACCUUGACGGUACCUAACCAGAAAGCCACGGCUAACUACGUGCCAGCAGCCGCAGUAA
rnacentral:rRNA from 1 species